ensembl:lncRNA
GUCUAUGCUCUCAACUGCGAGCGCUAAAUACAAAUACUUUGACCAUGUUUCCGCCCGGUCUCGAACCGGGGACCGGGAGCCGAGAUUAGUCGUCCUUAACUUCCUUAACUUUUCCCAUUCAUUCUCUAUGGUAGUUCUUAUCACUACGGAUGUAAUAUUUUUCCGGCCACAAGCGGGAUUUUGGUGGCGCCGUUUCCCCCCUCGGCAGAAGUAAGGAGAUGAUUUAUUUUCUGAGUGAAAGACAGCAUCGAACGUUCUCGGGCGUUGAACGUUCUGGAAGAGUUGACAAUUAUUUUCAUCCGUGGACAAGUUAACUUUUCGCCAGGAGACACCAAGUUAACAACAAGUUAGCUUUUCAAUUUGAAAAGAAAUCAUGAAUCCCAUCAGCUUCUUCCCCGGAAAGAUGACGGUGACAUUUAGGAAGGGACCAUCGGGUCAUCUGCGGCAGGACCCAUCCUCUGAGGCCAUGAGGAUAAAACAUAAUCCUGGGCUUCAGGUCAAUAGUCCCGCUGAGAAACAUGAGCUAGUGAAGACCAGCGCUCGCACUGUGGUCAUCCAGCGAGGAGGGGAUGUGUCGGACCGACAGGAGGUGAUGGGAGAGUACCUGCUGCAGUUCGGCAAGUACCAGGGAAAAUCGUUCAAGUGGCUCCUAGAGAACGAUGUUGGCUACACCAUCUACCUGAUGAAAAAGGUAGACGAUGAGGAGAGAGCCGGGACCUUCAACCCACAGGGACACAGUAAGGACAGCCUGCUGUCUUUUCUGGACUAUGCCAGGAGCUUCCAGGAAAUACAGGACCUGAGGAACUACCUGAUCUCCAGGACGCCUACUGAACCAGUGGCGUCAGAGGGGGACAAUAUUGUCGGCUUUGGUCGCAGGGCCAAAACCACCUGGAGGCAGAUCUGGGAGAGCAGGGCAGAUGGUUAUGCUGCCUACAUCUCACGCCAAAAGUGCAUCAAAAACAGCAAGAUGUACAACCUGCAGCAGUACAUCCUCAAGCAGGAAAGGGCUGACUCCUGUCCAACACCUGCAGAAGGCUCCACCACAUCUCUUGCCUCCACCCCAACAUCAGGCACUCUAGAAGGCUCCAUCACAUCUACUGCCUCCACCACAUCUACUGCCUCCACCCCAACAUCAGGCACUCUAGGUCAGUUCACAACAAUAUUCAAAUACUGACUUCAUGAUCUUUUAAUGUACCUAAAACACAAUGAAUGUAUGGUUUAAUGGAGGAGGAUGAGGAACUGGAGAGACAGAUGUUGAACCUGUCUCAAUCUUUAUUUGACAACGGACUAAGUAGGUGGAUCAUAAAAGGUUAAACCGUAACUCUUCCUGUACUUGAUCAAAUGUCCCCUGUGCUUUCAGGCCCACCAGCAGCAGUCCAGGGAAGAGCAGCUGUGGAUCCAACAAAAGGUUUUUCUUCAUUAGUGGAUGAUGGUAAGUGUUUUGUGUUAUAUGCAUGCUUCGUUUAAGCUGUCGUUCAAGGAUUUGGCGUGUGAAAUACCACAGAGGCUUAGAUACAGGUUCACAUGCUGCUAGACCUGCAGAACCGGAUGACCCCACUGUGACUGCUGCGAAAGCCACAGCGAAGGCCCUGUUGCCGGUCCCUGCCCAGCUGCUCGCCAUUGCCCCAGAGCUCGGGAUAAGAGAGCAGGAGCCCGAUGUGGUGAAACAAACACACAGAAAGGCAGUCUCCCGCAGUCCUUUGGAGUCUGUGAUAAGAGCAGGUCCAUCUCUUCCUAAAACAGGGUUUCCCCAGGUUUGAUCAACCCAAAUUUAAGACUUUUUUUAGACUUUUUUAAG